rnacentral:tRNA from 1 species
GAGGGUAUAGCUCAGUGGUAAAGCAUGUGCUUAGUGUGCAUAAGGUCCUGGGUUCAAUCCACGGUACCUCCA